AUUGAACGCUGGCGGCAGGCCUAACACAUGCAAGUCGAACGAGUGGCGGACGGGUGAGUAAUUGCUGGGAAACUGCCCGAUGGAGGUGGAUAACUACUGGAAACGGUAGCUAAUACCGCAUACCAUCGGAUGUUCCCAAAUGGGUUUCGCUAGUAGUUGGGGUAACGUCUCACCUAGGCGACGAUCCCUAGGUGGUCUGACAGGAUGACCAGGCAUACUGGAACUGAGACACGGUCCAGACUCCUACGGUAGGCAGCAGUGGGGAAUAUUGCACAAUGGGCGCAAUCCUUAUGCAGCCAUGCCGCGUGUAUGAAGAAGGCCUGCGGGUUGUAAAGUACUUUCAGCGAGGAGGCGUUACUCGAAGAAGAAGCACCGGCUAACUCCGUGCCAGAAGCCGCGGUAAUUC
rnacentral:rRNA from 1 species